GGGGUUGUAGCUCAGUGGUAGAGCACUUGCCUAGCAUGCAUGAGGCACUGGGUUUGAUUCUCAGCACCACA
rnacentral:tRNA from 1 species